CGGACGGGUGAGUAACGCGUGAGGAACCUGCCUUGAAGAGGGGGACAACAGUUGGAAACGACUGCUAAUACCGCAUAAGCCCACGGCUCGGCAUCGAGCAGAGGGAAAAGGAGCAAUCCGCUUUGAGAUGGCCUCGCGUCCGAUUAGCUAGUUGGUGAGGUAACGGCCCACCAAGGCGACGAUCGGUAGCCGGACUGGGAGGUUGAACGGCCACAUUGGGACUGAGACACGGCCCAG
rnacentral:rRNA from 1 species